UAUAUAAAACAGACAUCUCAGAUUUGCCCAUGAAUGUGUAAUGAGUGCUUGGCAUACACUUCUACUUCACAGAAUCAUCCCUCCAGAACCUCACCACUGAGCCAUUUCCCCAGAAUGGUAUAACUUAAUGUGCUAAUAAGAGGAACGAGAAAAACAAGGUCAGACGUGCUCAUUCCUGAGUGAGGAAUACUGGAUCUGGAUACCUCCUUAGAUGCCUUAAAAUUUGUAUCAGAGAACAUCUUGCAUUGGGAACAGAGCUCCAUUGACUAGUAAACCAGGUAGUUGACAAAAUCACAAAAGGAAAUCU